UAACGAAUGACCGUGGAUUGUUGCGAAA
rnacentral:sRNA from 1 species